rnacentral:rRNA from 1 species
GGCGCGUACGGCGUCCACCUAGAGAGUGGACGUCCGGCGGUGCUAUUAGUUAGUUGGUGGGUAAAGGCCUACCAAGACAAUGAUGCAUAGCCGAGUUGAGAGACUGAUCGGCCACAUUGGGACUGAGACACGGCCCAAACUCCUACGGGAGGCUGCAGUAGGGAAUCUUCCACAAUGGGCGAAAGCCUGAUGGAGCAACGCCGCGUGUGUGAUGAAGGCUUUCGGGUCGUAAAGCACUGUUGUAUGGGAAGAACAGCUAGAGUAGGGAAUGACUUUAGUUUGACGGUACCAUACCAGAAAGGGACGGCUAAAUACGUG